UCAGACGAUGCGUCAUGCAUAUCAAUAAGCGGAGGAAAAGAAACUAACAAGGAUUCCCUCAGUAACGGCGAGUGAAGCGGGAAGAGCUCAAAUUUGAAAUCUUGAAAGGUCACCUUUCACGAAUUGUAGUUUAAAGAAGUGUUUUCUGUUACGAUCGUAAUAUAAGUUCUUUGGAAUAGGACAUCACAGAGGGUGAGAAUCCCGUCUAUGAUUGCGAUUUGUAGCUUUGUGAUACACUUUCAAAGAGUCGGGUUGUUUGGGAAUGCAGCCCAAAACGGGAGGUAAAUUUCUUCUAAGGCUAAAUAUUGGCGAGAGACCGAUAGCGAACAAGUACCGUGAGGGAAAGAUGAAAAGAACUUUGAAAAGAGAGUUAAAUAGUACGUGAAAUUGUCAAAAGGGAAGCGUUUAACACCAGUGUUGUUUUCUGAAAAUCAACCUCUGUUAGCUUUAUGCAUGUUUGUUUAGACCUAAUCAGCUAUCUUGCAUGUUCUAUUGUUUGCAGUGGUGCACUUUUCAGUUUACAGGUCAACAUCAGUUUUUUUUACCGUGAAAAAGUUAAAGAAAGGUAGCUCAUGGCUCCGGUCGUGAGUGUUAUAGUCUUUUUCCUAUGCGGUAGGAGAGACUGAGGUCUGCAGUGUAGGCUAUUUGGCUAGAUACUCAGGUGCUAUGUGAUACCAUUUCAUAAACAACUUGUUGAUUAUGUUUUGUCUAUUGCAUACUCGCUUGUACUAUCAUACCUACGCUUAGGAUGUUGAUCUGUAGUGCGUGCGC
rnacentral:rRNA from 1 species